UACGUAGGGACCGAGCGUUGUCCGGAUUCAUUGGGCGUAAAGAGCUCGUAGGCGGCUGCUCAAGUCGAAUGUGAAAACUCGAGGCUCAACCUCGAGCUGCAUUCGAUACUGGGCGGCUAGAGUCUGGUAGGGGAUCUGGAAUUCCUGGUGUAGCGGUGGAAUGCGCAGAUAUCAGGAGGAACACCGGUGGCGAAGGCGGGAUCCUGGGCCAGUACUGACGCUGAGGAGCGAAAGCGUGGGGAGCGAACAGG
rnacentral:rRNA from 1 species